UGCGGUAACAAAAGUUACAGAUCCACAAAAUGUAAAACAAGUAAGACAAUUUUUAGGACUCGCCGGUUAUUUCCGAAAAUUUAUUCAUCAUUUCACCCAGAAGGUGACACCUUUAACGAAUUUAUUACGAAAAGAUAUAACUUGGUCAUGGGGGGAAAAAGAGUCUAAUGUCAUGAAGGAAAUAAAGGAAAUUUUAAUCAGUCGACCCGUGCUUGCUAUUUAUGAUCCUGAGCGUGAAACCGAAGUUCAUACUGAUGACAGUGCGUUGGGACUAGGAGCAAUUCUGAUUCAGAAAGCCGACAAUGUUAAACGUGUUGUCGCGUAUUUUAGUAGAAAGACGGCACCCGUGGAACAGAAAUACCAUUCAUAUGAUUUAGAGACGUUAGCAGUGGUUGAGGCCCUGAGGGUAUUUCGAGUAUAUCUUUUAGGCAUAAAGUUUACGGUUGUAACAGAUUGUAGCGCGGUACGAGCAACAGCGAAUAAAAAAGAUAUCCAACCACGUGUCGGGCGGCGGUGGGUGUUUCUCCAAGAUUACAACUUCGACAUUGUUUAUCGUCCUGGCGCUCAAUGGGGAACUUGCAUGAUUUUUUUUUAUUUUUUUUUACAUAGUUAAUGGUCCUAAUAAUAGAUUUUUCAUGAAAAAACAUUUAAAAAAUCGUUUAACAAUUAAUUAUCGAUUGUUCAAAAAGUGAAAUUUUCAAAUGCUCCAAAAGUUGUCAUGACGUCAUCAGGCGGGUCCUAUACUUCCGCAUGUGGCGUCAUCUACUGGAUCAUAGAUUCCUACCGUCGGUAUAUCAAAUUUACCUAACCCUACCUGAUUAAACCUAUUUAAACUGAUUUAACCUUAACUGAUUAAAACACUCACAAAUACUCCAAAAUGUCAAAUGACAGUCAAAAAGUUGAAAAACAACCAUACAAAUAUUGUUUUGUACCAUCGUGUGCGAACUCAACUGUGUCAACACCGAAUAAAGUGUUUAUAACAGUUCCUGCGUGCAAAAAUAUUCGAAAAUUGUGGUGUGAAGCCGCAGGUUAUUUUCGCCCAUUACUGGGCAGAAGUGACAUUUAACAAUGUAACCUCUACUGUUUGGUGACACCGGCUGACGUUUAGAAAAAUAUCAGUGCUGUCAUCUAGCGGCUGCAAUAAGAAACCGGCGUCACCGCCUGAUGACGUCACGAGCGUUAAAAAGUGGUUCAAAAUUAUGCAAUUUUCGAUUGAUUGUUAAAAAAAAACUGCAAUGAGUUAGAAUGCAUUUUCCAUUGGAGAGUAUUCCAUAGGCGUUAAAGUAUUUAUUAAUACAUUUAUUUCUCAAAUCUGGGCCGCAUGCAAGUUCCCCAUUAGCUCACGUAGAUUAUUUAAGCCGUAACCCGAUCGAUUGUUGUGCGGCAGAUAUCACUGAAACAGAGUGGAUCAACGUAGCGCAGAUGCAAGAUCCAGACAUUGAAAUUACAAGGAAAAUCCUGGAGAGUGGUGAGAUGAGUUCUGAUACCAAACAGUAUUUUGAAAAAUAUGAUUUGAAGGUCGGGAUAGUAUUCAGAAAAACAGAGAACGGAAGUAAAUGGUUAGUGCCACGAAUGUCUCGGUUUAAUAUAGUCAAACUUUGUCACGACGAUCAAGGACAUUUUGCCUUAGAGAAAACGUCGGAGGAGUUUCGCGAAAAUUAUUGGUUCAAGGGAAUGAGGAAAUUUGUCUCCAAAUAUGUGAAAUCAUGUUUGAAUUGUCUUUAUUACAAGUCUGUCUCAGGGAGAAAACCUGGACGUUUGCAUCCGAUUGAGAAGGUGGCGAUACCAUUCCAUACAAUCCACCUAGAAACAUGUGGGACCAUUCCAACGGAGUAAAAAUAAGAACACUCAGAUACUAACAAUAGUUGACGGUUUCACGAAGUUUUGUGUCCUCGGGGCUGUCCGUGAUACAAGUACAAAAUGUGUACUUAAAACGCUUAACCAGUUGAUUGCAAUAUUUGGUGUACCCUCUCGUAUAAUAAGCGACAGAGGCACUGCCUUUACGUCCCAUGCUUUUAAGGGGUUUUGUACAGAGUAUGGUAUAAAGCACGUACUUAAUGCUGUCGCAACACCUCGAGCUAAUGGUCAGUGUGAGCGGAUGAAUCGCGUUGUGCUCAAUUCACUGGCAACUACUUGUGCCGGAGAAGAUGAAGAUCUUUGGGAUGCCAGUCUAAAAAAGGCGCAGAGUGCAAUAAAUAGCAGUACCAACAGGACCACUCGAGUGAGCCCAACGCAAUUAUUGUUUGGGUUCAAACCACACAGCCAUGCAGAUGCGAGGCUAUUGACUGAGAUUCAAGAUGUCUCGGAUCAGGUCAACUUGAAGGAGUUGAGGGAAACAGCGAAAGACGCUACAGAUGCUGAACAGGCUGAGCAGAAGCGGAGAUUCGACGCCCGACGGUUCAAGGCGUCCCAGUAUGCUGUAGGCGACGUGGUGAUGGUAGCUGCUGCUCCGCCUGCUACAGGUGAGAGAAAGAAGUUAGUCGCUAAGGCAAAGGGGCCGUUCAAAGUGACAGCGGUGUUGCCAAAUGAUCGCUAUGAAGUUCACGACCUUCGAGACUUGAAGAAGUCACCUUUUAAGCGCUCUGUGGUGGCGGUAGAUAGCAUGCGGAGGUGGGUCACAUUUGAUGCCACAAAGACGUGAUUGAUGCCUUAAAGGCGCUCAGGAAAGGCUAUAUGGGCCAAGUCUGUUGGCCCGAGUGUGAGAGAGUAAUCGCCCUCAUAUGAUGUUACAGGAUUCAUCGCGAGGUCAACCAUGAGGUCAGUAUGGCCUAAUGUGGGAGAAAUUUUUCCAAGGGUGAUCAGAGGCUUUAGGGGCAACGAACAAAGACGGUCUUGUGCGGGGAACCACCG